CAAGUUUCUCUGCUAACAUCAUGAGAGAACUGAGCUAUGAGCUAUUCAGUGGUUACUUACAUCAUUCUUGUGUUUCCAGCCCUGUGACUUGACCGCAAGGCUUUCAGAAGUGAUCCAGUUUCUGCCUGGUGUUAACCAUCACCACACUCAAGUCUUCCCAGCUGAGGAUCUGUUUCCUCCCAUUCAGCUGAACGACGCCCAACUGAGGAGAAGUUCCUCUGUCUGGUUCAAUGCCUGGUCACAGAGUUUUCCUGGCACAAAUGAGUGGAAAGAGCACUUUGGCCUGGAUGGGAAAUGUGCAGCGGAGGGUGAAAGGUGUCUUGGCAGACACUUCCAAUUUGUGUCCUUAUCUCACAGUCUCCAGCAUCUUCAAAGGCUUUUUCGGCUUCUUGUGUUUUGCAAGUUCAAACCCCUGCACCCCACUGGUCUUGAAAACGUGUGAAUGAAC